GCGGAUAUGGCGGAAUUGGCAGACGCACUAGACUCAAAAUCUAGCGGGAAACCAUGUGGGUUCGACUCCCACUAUCCGCA
rnacentral:tRNA from 1 species